rnacentral:rRNA from 1 species
AUUGAACGCUGGCGGCAGGCCUAACACAUGCAAGUCGAACGAGUGGCGGACGGGUGAGUCAUGUCUGGGAACCUGCCUGAUGGAGGGGGAUAACUACUGGAAACGGUAGCUAAUACCGCAUACCAUCAGAUGUGCCCAGAUGGGAUUAGCUAGUUGGUGGGGUAACGGCUCACCAAGGCGACGAUCCCUAGCUGGUCUGAGAGGAUGACCAGCCACACUGGAACUGAGACACGGGCCAGACUCCUACGGGAGGCAGCAGUGGGGAAUAUUGCACAAUGGGAGCAAGCCUGAUGCAGCCAUGACGCGUGUAGGAAGAAGGCCUGCGGGUUGUAAAGUAAUUUCAGCGGGGAGGCGUUACCAGAAGAAGAAGCACCGGCUAACUCCGUGCCAGCAGCCGCGGUAAUUC